AUGGUUGUACUGGCUGUUGGGGUACCCUUCGUGGGAGUUCUGCAGGGGGUCCAUGCUGCUGGGGGCCCCGGCGGCGGCAGAGGCGGAGUGCAUCAUCCCCAUCCCGGGGCUUUGUUGUCCGCCAUGUUGAUCAAAGCAAGGCCCAGCGCGGCCGCCGGGGCCGCCGCUAGCAGGGGCAGCGCUGCCAUAGUAAUUAUUAAACUCCGAGACGGCCGCCGGGCCGCCGCCGCCGCCCCCGGGCACGGAGACCGGCGCGGGUGGCUGCUGCGCGCCCAGGCCCGGGUGCUCAUAGCGGCUGCCCGCCGGCUCCCCCAUCUUGGGCGGCGCGUCGUCCUCGUCGCCCGGUUUGCUCAGCAGAGGCUGGCCCUGCGGGUCGGCCUGACUGCCCGCGGCACUGUCCUUGGCGCCUCCAUGUUGCGGCUGCUCCAUGUCCGGGCCGGGCUGAGGCGCGCCGCCGCCCGCGCCGCCCAGGCUGUUGUUGGCAGUGGGAUGCUGCUGCUGCGGCGGGCGGCGGCGGCGGCGGCGGCUGCUGCUGUGGCUGCGGCGGCUGCGGCUGCUGGAACUGGUUUAGCUGCUGCUGUAGUGGUGGUGGUGGUGGUGGUGGUGGAGGUGGUGGGCAUGGUGGUGGUGGUGGUGGUGGUGGGCAUGGUGGUGGUGCUGCUGAUGGGGCGGUGCAGCGGGGGCCUCGCCAACGGCUUUCAGUUUGUGGUUGGGGAGCAGCCCGGUCUCCAUGGUCGAGCCGGGGCUCGCCGAGGAGGAGGAAGAGGCCGCGACGGCGGCGGCGGAGGAGGAGGAGGACAGUGCGGUGGCGGCGCUGGCACCCUCCUUGAGAGUCGCCUCGGAGCCGCCGCUCUGCGCGCUGUUGGAGCUAGCGGCGGCCGCGGCGCUCGCGCUAUGGGCCAUGUUCAGGUCGUGACGGGGGUGCAGGGGGUGGUGGUGCACAUUAUUCAGGCCGCCGUCGCCGCCCCCCAGUAUGGGGCCCGGAGCCGCCGCCGCCACCGCGCCGCGCGCGCACGCCUCCAGGUCCCGGGCCCCGGGCGCCGGCCGCGGCCCGAGGGCGCCCGCCGCUCGCCGCUGCCCGCCCCGCGCCCGCGCCGCCGCUGCUGCCCGCGCGGCCAUGAUCGCCGCGGCGUGGCGCGGCCGGGCGGGUGGGGGGAGACAAUGUCCCCACUCGCAGCCGGCCGCCCCUCCUGCGCGCAUCCACGCGGCCCGCGGGGAAGCGCGGCGCCCUCCCUCCCCACCCACCCCCCCCCCCGCAGCCCCGGGCCGCCCGCUCGCUCGCCCGCCCGCCCGCCGGGGGCGCGCCUAUGCGCUCGGGGGCCCGCGCCCGCUCCGGCCUGGGCCGCCAGAAAGUUUUUUAGUUCCGCUUGCAAUGAAAACUUUUCUCUGUCUGUCUCUCUGUCUCUCUCUCCCUCACUCUCUUGUUUUUCCUCUCUAACCCGGAUAUGGGGGGGAAAUGCACGACUUGCCUGA
rnacentral:lncRNA from 1 species